rnacentral:lncRNA from 1 species
AUAUAUGUAUAUAUUUCAUAAUCAACAAUAUCAUCAAUAAUAGAUAUCUAACUCAUCAAUUAAAUAUAUCACCCUGUCAUAAUAAUAAUUCAUCAAUAUAUAAGUAUAUCAUCAUUAACAACAUCAACCAAAUGAUAAUUAAAACCAACAACGACGAUUCAUGCAACAACUCGACACCACCGCUAAGACUCAUGCAAGACAUGACAACUCCACUAAGACUCCUCAACAAAUGCAACUAUGCAUGUGGUACCAAAACCAGGGCCGUGACCCAUACCACUGUCGAAUGGUUAAAGCAUUCUCAUCAGGACAUAAGUCCUCACCACUAACACCACUUUGAGCAACUAGUGCUCCACCACUUUGAACGACAAGGCGUUCCAGAGCCGAAGCUCUCCCACUGUUAUGCUCAUGCAACUGACCCACUUGAGUAUAUCUACAUACAAUCCCACCUAAGCAUAUAUGUAUAUAUGACUCACCACUCCAAUUUACAACAUUCAUGUAAAACUUAAUUAAAUAAAAGCAUACAUCCAGCCAGCAUCCAUUCAUCAAUCACAACCAAAUUAGAACAUCCAGAGAAAUACACCAACAUACAAGCCAUGCUUAAUCAACAAGAUAAAUCAACCAUCAACAACAGAAGUCAAACCAACAAAAUUCUGGGCAGCUCGCCUCGCGAGCACAUCUGCUCGCUAUGGCGAGCUCAGGAAAUAAGGUACUCGCCAUGGCGAGUUCGAGGCGAACAGAAAUAUGGUGCUCUCGGGAAAAAUGAUAUUUUUCUCACUCAAACCUCAAUUCUAAGCUCCCUAAUCAUCUUUUAAACCUAAAACUUGCCCAGUCCUCUUAGAAAUCAUCUAGGUACAUGAAACUACCCAAAAUAUGGCUUAUAACAACAUUUUUAAAAAUCCAAAUUUUCACAAGGCUACUCGCCAUGGCGAGUUGUAUCCCUCGCGAGGCGAGCCAUGAAGUUGUUCACUCGCUAUGGCGAGUAAUGGCUACUCGCGAGGCGAGCGAUGAACUCCUGUACGGGCAGAAUGCAGGUUUUUCCCAAAAAUCCCAUUUUUCCUCAAUUCACUCCCCAAAUUAGUUUACAGAUAUGCAAUGAAAGGUUUUAUGCACUCAGAACCCAUUUCUAACUCCAAUUCAACAAUUCCUACACUCAAAACCCAUUAAUUAACAAAACCUAACUUUAAUCAAAUAUUAACCAACAUUUCCCACAACAUUAACCAACAGAUGCAUCUUAAUCAAUAAUAAACAGCAACAUGGCAGUACACAAACAAUCUCAAGAUAUAACAACAUCAAAUGGUAAUUAACAUCUUAAAACAUCAUAUAUAUACAUAUAACCCUUCAUCAAUCAUUGACAAUAUCGUAUUCACAAAUAUAUACAUACAUAUAUUAAUUCAUCAAUCAUAAACAAUUCUUCACUGUGAUCUACGUGCAGUAAUUUGACCAUAGCUCAAGUUCUAUAAAUUCUUUUGAAGUCAAACCAACGGCAUUAGAAAGCUAACAUCCAUACCUACAACUUUCGUGCUUACACCUAAGACCAAUUCUGUAUCAAUCAAUACCAGUUUUCAUUUCAAAUUCUGACAAAGUUGUGCUGAAAUUCAUAAAAAUUCACUAAGACCUCCGUGGAGUAUUUUCAUCAUAUCUCAUAAACCAAAAAUCAUUUUCGAGUCAAAUUAGAGCCAUUGGAAAGCUAACAAAAUUAUCUACAACUUUCAUGUUUACACCAAAGACCAAUUCAAAACAGAAACAUGUGAAAAAGACGCAAGAACGCGAAACAGGUGAUGCUGUCUCUGUGUAGCUCGCGAGGCGAGUAAGUUUACUCGCUGUGGCGAGUUGCGACGAACAACCCUACGGGAACAGACCAGUUUUCAGCCAAAAACCCAAUUUUUCAUCCACCCAAACCCCAAAUUUGAUAGGAAACUCAACAUAUGUUUAUUCUACAAUCUGAACAUCGAUUCCUAACACAAUUGUCAUGAUUUCUACACUUUUCAAUCCAAGAAUCAUACUCCAAAAAACCUAACCCCCAAUUCCCAAUUUCAGCUAGAACUAUGCUAAAUCAAAAUCAGAAUUAUAUAACCAUUAUCAUUGAGAGAUAGUCUCACCCUUACCUGAAUUCAAUUGCACAAACAAAGCUACAGCAAAAUCGAUCCCCUCUUGCUCUUGUUCUCCCCUUGGCUUGGUUUUCUCUCCCAAAACUUGUUUCACGUAAAACUGCUUCUAACCUUCUCUUUUCCUAACUCCCAAAAUAUAACUUCUCCUUUAUUUCAUUAAACUCCCCUUAAUUCUAUUAAUUCCUAAUUAACUCCCCAACCUCCAAAAUAACAUUAAUUCUCACAUUAUUCUAAUUAAUAUUAAAAUAAACUAUAUAAUAAAAUAAUACACACCACAUAAUCAACCAAUAUUAUUUAAAAUCACAUAAAUUAUAUAAAUAUAUCCUAACUCAAUAAAAAUAAUUAAAUAAUCAAAUAAUUCAAGGAGGGUGUUACAACUCUACCCCCCUUAAAAGAAUUUCGUCCUCGAAAUUCAAAGCAAAAGAAAAUGAAUUCAGUUAUUGCAUAAAUACCCUUAAACUAUAUAUAGCCAGAUAGAACCUUCAAUCAAAACAUACAAACCACAUUAAGUUAAUCAAUCAAACAUAAUCACUUAAUAAACAUAACCAUUUAUCAGGAAACACAACAAACAACAAUCACAACAAAACAUACAACAUUAAGUUGACACUCUAACCUAUGUGGCUCAACACGACUCUACUAUUUGGCCGGACGGACCAACCUGCUCUGAUACCAAUUGUAACAUCCCGUUUUCCCGACUUAAAAAUUUCAUUUAAUUAAUCAGAGUAUUCAACAUGUAAACGGAAUGCUAUACUUCAUAAAAUCAUAAUUAAGUUAAUUAACUAAUUUUAUCCUUCAACAUAUUAAUUCAAACUUUGCAGCGGAUUAAAUUCAUUAACAUAAAAAGUCUUGGCACGAAGGCCUCAUCAAAACAUCUCAUAAAAAUCCAAUUAACAACUUAAUCAUGUAAAUUUAUAAACAAUACGUAAGGAAUAGAAAAGCAUGCAACAAAGUUCCCAUCCCGUUACGUAUCAGAGCACCUAAACGACUCAGUGAGGGAUAGCCCCUCACGACGGCAAAAACACAGCAACCUACUCUUGAUCACCUGCAAGUUACUCAUACGAAGAGCAACAUUUUCAAGCAGAAGGGGUGAGAUUCACAAUCAAUAAUAAUAAUAUAUAAUUCAUCAAAUGCAUCUAACAACUUAAACUUCAUCAAUUAGUAAUAGUAAUUCUUUUAACGACUCCUAAACCAUAUCAUAUACUCAUCAUAUCAACAGUCAUAACUCGAUAUCAUAAACAACAUCAUAACAGCAUCAUUUAACUUCAUAAUUAACAUCUUAAUCAUAAUCAUAUAACAUCAUACUCAUAAUUCGUAUACAACAUGACAACUUCAUAAUCAAUGACCUAAACAACGUAACAACAUCAUAUUCAUAGUUCAUAUACAACAUAACAACAUCAUUAAUUCAUGUUAACAUUCUCCACCUAGCACCUUAUUAACAACUCAUAGAUAACAUCACAUAAUCAUCAUCACAACAUUCAUAAUCAUCAUCAUGUAACAUCAUAACAAUCUCAUAUUCAAUACCAUAAAUAGUCAUCAUAACAUCGUAAUCAAUAUUAUAAACAUCUUCUCAUAAUAAUAUAAACGACACGACAUAAUCAUCACAUCAUGAUAAUAUAAACAACUACAUAUAUUUAACAAUAAUGUUCUUACUUCUUUAACUUUAGUAACACUUACUAAUUCAACCAACGACGACGAUAACUACAAUUAUCCAAUAUAUGUAUAUAUUUCAUAAUCAACAAUAUCAUCAAUAAUAGAUAUCUAACUCAUCAAUUAAAUAUAUCACCCUGUCAUAAUAAUAAUUCAUCAAUAUAUAAGUAUAUCAUCAUUAACAACAUCAACCAAAUGAUAAUUAAAACCAACAACGACGAUUCAUGCAACAACUCGACACCACCGCUAAGACUCAUGCAAGACAUGACAACUCCACUAAGACUCCUCAACAAAUGCAACUAUGCAUGUGGUACCAAAACCAGGGCCGUGACCCAUACCACUGUCGAAUGGUUAAAGCAUUCUCAUCAGGACAUAAGUCCUCACCACUAACACCACUUUGAGCAACUAGUGCUCCACCACUUUGAACGACAAGGCGUUCCAGAGCCGAAGCUCUCCCACUGUUAUGCUCAUGCAACUGACCCACUUGAGUAUAUCUACAUACAAUCCCACCUAAGCAUAUAUGUAUAUAUGACUCACCACUCCAAUUUACAACAUUCAUGUAAAACUUAAUUAAAUAAAAGCAUACAUCCAGCCAGCAUCCAUUCAUCAAUCACAACCAAAUUAGAACAUCCAGAGAAAUACACCAACAUACAAGCCAUGCUUAAUCAACAAGAUAAAUCAACCAUCAACAACAGAAGUCAAACCAACAAAAUUCUGGGCAGCUCGCCUCGCGAGCACAUCUGCUCGCUAUGGCGAGCUCAGGAAAUAAGGUACUCGCCAUGGCGAGUUCGAGGCGAACAGAAAUAUGGUGCUCUCGGGAAAAAUGAUAUUUUUCUCACUCAAACCUCAAUUCUAAGCUCCCUAAUCAUCUUUUAAACCUAAAACUUG